UUUGUCUUGGCGGAGCAAAAUUACUGAAACAUUCUUUUCUCUUGAACUUGGAGCCUGACUGUUGCGAGAAGAAACCCCACCAGCCCCAAAGACAUAUUCUCUCAAUUUAACAGCAGACUGAGGUGUUUCUCCAACAUCAUCGGAUCAAUGAAAACCCCAGGGACGAUGCUGAUUGCCAAAGAUUGGACAAGCUAACAAGCGCAUGAUGAGGAACCAGUUGGUUCUUCUUGCUUUCUCUCAGUUUUCGGAGGUCUUUGGGACAGACACACACAAAAGGGAAGCUGAUCCAUGGAUGUAUUCUGUCAUUCUUUUGGAGGCUGCUUUUUCUUCCUUGUUUUGACUUGGUUCAACUUGAAAGGGUGCUUUUAAGGAUAUUGUGGGGUCCAAAAAUAAGUGGAAUUCCAGGAAAUCAAUGAAAGGAUGUAUUCAUGGAUCGGAGCUGGUGGACUAAAUUUUAACUCCGUUUCAGUUCAAGUCACUGACUCAUUUAUCAGAGUCUUCCAUCAUAGAGGUGGCCUAUUGAGAUCAGCACACUUUGGUUUUUCCAUUACAUGUGGGUGAGUCUUAACGUUUUCUAUGGAUCCAUCUUGUCCCAUAUAUGAUUAGUGAUUGG